CGGCUUCUCAAUCUUCACAGCCGAGAUAACAGUGGCCACCUGGGUAUCCGUCAACUCGUUGUAAAUGACCUCAAAUUCCUUGGUGACUUCCUUGAUGAGGUCGAUCCGCUUCUUAUCGACCAAGAGGUUGAGGAAGUUGAGGGUGACGUCGCUAAACUUAGCAUCCUCAGCUACAGUCUUGAGAAUGCUCUUCUUCUUGUCACCAUCAAUCACAGGCGACACCAAAAAGUCAUACAGAGUCUCGUUAGUCAUCAGCUCGCCCAACGCCUCCAUGUCCUUGUUAAUCGUAUCCAAGGUGUUGGUAGCCUGCGACAGGUCCGCCAAAGCCUCAGCGUACCCACCAGCGGCAGUCUCCGUCUUUGCCACCACGACGGCCCGGCUGGGGCUAGAGGAAGAAGACGCCGACAAGGUCUUGGACACCGAAGCGACCA
rnacentral:lncRNA from 1 species